UUAAAGUUAUUUUUACUUGUGAAGAAACAGUAAUAAAAAUUAAGGACAAGAAGACCCUAAGAAUUUUUAGAAACAUAUUUCAAUAAAGAAGAUAUGUUUCUUUAAUUGGGGCGAUUAAUUAAUAUUAAAAACUUUUUUAAAAAAACAUGAACCGUUUAAUAGCGGUAAAUUGGUAAAAAUACUCUAGGGAUAACAGCGUAAUAAUUUUCGAUAGUUCAUAUUGACAAAAUAGUUUGCGACCUCGAUGUUGGAUUAGGAUAUUUUUUUGAUGAAGAAGUUAAAAAAAAAAGUUUGUUCAACUUUUAAUUUCCUACUUGAUCUGAGUUCAGACCGG
rnacentral:rRNA from 1 species